ACUAGGGAUAUACACUUACUAAAAGUAAGUUUAUUUUAUUUGGUCAUCUGGUUUCUGGUUUUAUAGUUUAUUAAUUAAUUGCAGAUAAUUGAAGAUAAUUUAUUAGGUACUAAAUAAAAUAUGUACAGUAAAACGCCCAUACAACGAAAGGGACCAGAAAUAAUGACUGCUAUUUAGAAGUGCCUUAUGAAGACAUGACACUUGGCAGAACCAAAAAAAUGACUAUUAUAUAGAGGCUACCAUUAGCAGAAGUUUUACUGUAUAAACAUUCCUUUUAAAAUA